UCAUCCUUUGAGAGGUGAUCCAGGGCAA
rnacentral:sRNA from 1 species